CUCCGAAAGGGUAUCGGAGGCGCCCAAAGGUUCCCUCAGAAUGGACGGAAACCAUUCGAAGAGUGCAAAGGCAGAAGGGAGCUUGACUGCGACACCGACGGGUGGAGCAGGUACGAAAGUAGGGCUUAGUGAUCCGGUGGUAUUAAGUGGGAAUGCCAUCGCUCAACGGAUAAAAGCUACCCUGGGGAUAACAGGCUUAUCACUCCCAAGAGUUCACAUCGACGGAGUGGUUUGGCACCUCGAUGUCGGCUCAUCGCAUCCUGGGGCUGUAGUAGGUCCCAAGGGUUGGGCUGUUCGCCCAUUAAAGCGGUACGCGAGCUGGGUUCAGAACGUCGUGAGACAGUUCGGUCCCUAUCCGGCGUGGGCGUAGGAUAUCUGAGAGGAGCUGUCCUUAGUACGAGAGGACCGGGAUGGACGGGCCGCUGGUGCAUCGGUUAGACUGCCAAGUCUACGGCCGAGUAGCCAAGCCCGGAAGGGAUAAACGCUGAAGGCAUCUAAGCGUGAAGCCCCCCUUAAGAUGAGAUAUCCCAUUCGAAAGAAGUAAACCCCCUUGAAGACGACGAGGUAGAUAGGGCAGAGGUGGAAGUGCAGCAAUGCAUGGAGCUGACUGUUACUAAUCGGGUGAGGGCUUGACCAAAA
rnacentral:rRNA from 1 species